GCGCGCGUAGCUCAGCGGCAGAGCAUCGCGUUCACAUCGCGAGGGUCCAUGGUUCAAAUCCAUGCGCGCGCA
rnacentral:tRNA from 1 species